ACCUGCCUGUAAGACUGGGAUAACUCCGGGAAACCGGGGCUAAUACCGGAUGCUUGAUUGAACCGCAUGGUUCAAUCCUAAAAGGGGGCUUUUAGCUUCCACUUACAGAUGGACCCGCGGCGCAUUAACUAGUUGGUGAGGUAACGGCUCACCAAGGCGACGAUGCGUAGCCGACCUGAGAGGGUGAUCGGCCACACUGGGACUGAAACACGGCCCAAACUCCUACGGGAGGCAGCAGUAGGGAAUCUUCCGCAAUGGACGAAAGUCUGACGGAGCAACGCCGCGUGAGUGAUGAAGGUUUUCGGAUCGUAAAACUCUGUUGUUAGGGAAGAACAAGUACCGUUCGAAUAGGGCGGCACCUUGACGGUACCUAACCAGAAAGCCACGGCUAACUACGUGCCAGCAGCCGCGGUAAUACGUAGGUGGCAAGCGUUGUCCGGAAUUAUUGGGCGUAAAGCGCGCGCAGGCGGUUUCUUAAGUCUGAUGUGAAAGCCCCCGGCUCAACCGGGGAGGGUCAUUGGAAACUGGGGAACUUGAGUGCAGAAGAGGAGAGUGGAAUUCCACGUGUAGCGGUGAAAUGCGUAGAGAUGUGGAGGAACACCAGUGGCGAAGGCGACUCUCUGGUCUGUAACUGACGCUGAGGCGCGAAAGCGUGGGGAGCGAACAGGAUUAGAUACCCUGGUAGUCCACGCCGUAAACGAUGAGUGCUAAGUGUUAGAGGGUUUCCGCCCUUUAGUGCUGCAGCAAACGCAUUAAGCACUCCGCCUGGGGAGUACGGUCGCAAGACUGAAACUCAAAGGAAUUGACGGGGGCCCGCACAAGCGGUGGAGCAUGUGGUUUAAUUCGAAGCAACGCGAAGAACCUUACCAGGUCUUGACAUCCUCUGACAACCCUAGAGAUAGGGCUUCCCCUUCGGGGGCAGAGUGACAGGUGGUGCAUGGUUGUCGUCAGCUCGUGUCGUGAGAUGUUGGGUUAAGUCCCGCAACGAGCGCAACCCUUGAUCUUAGUUGCCAGCAUUCAGUUGGGCACUCUAAGGUGACUGCCGGUGACAAACCGGAGGAAGGUGGGGAUGACGUCAAAUCAUCAUGCCCCUUAUGACCUGGGCUACACACGUGCUACAAUGGGCAGAACAAAGGGCAGCGAAGCCGCGAGGCUAAGCCAAUCCCACAAAUCUGUUCUCAGUUCGGAUCGCAGUCUGCAACUCGACUGCGUGAAGCUGGAAUCGCUAGUAAUCGCGGAUCAGCAUGCCGCGGUGAAUACGUUCCCGGGCCUUGUACACACCGCCCGUCACACCACGAGAGUUUGUAACACC
rnacentral:rRNA from 1 species